CCCUUUGUAAUCUCAGCUCUCUCUCGCUACCCCCUCUCAAACUCUAGCUGCCAAUCUCAACCACCACCUAAAAUCGCCCAAAUCAAUGGUUUCCAAAGCCAUUGGAGGCCUGUAUCUACUUCUUUUGGCUUUUAUAUGCCCAAUUACCAUGCUUUCAUGGCUGAAUCCUGGAAACGUUUGGUCCAGACCUUGGUUGAUUUUAGUUCUAUGGCUGUCUAUGGUCAUCUUUGACUUUGCUCCGACAAGUCAUGGCUAUUCAAGCCUGAUUAUUGACUUCUCUUACUUAGACCGAUGAUUUUCUAAGCCUUUCUCAUCAUCUGGAGUCCGUCUAAAAUCCUAACCUUUGAGAUUCUUUCAAUUUCCUUUAGAUCUGUUUUAGAUCUAUGUUUGCUCUAAAAUUCUAAGUGUUUUCUCAAGGUUUUCUUUCAAAACUCUACCUUAAAGAACCCUUAUCUUUUCUAAUUUAUGUUUUCUUAAGUUAUAUUUGAAGCUUUCUUCUUUCAAAACUCUACCUUAAAGAACCCUUAUCUUUUCUAAUUUAUGUUUUCUUAAGUUAUUUUUGAAGCUUUCUCUGAUUUUCAACAUGUUUUGCUGUGUUUCCUUAUGUCAUUCUUUUACUGGAGUUUGCAUGUCAAGAGUCUUAGUUUCUUUUGAGGUUUCUGAACAUAUUUUCGUGUUAGUAUUGUUCAAUUAUUUUUGUUCCAUCUCUAGAAUCCACUGCUAUUAAAAACCCUAAAAUUUUUGGUUUAUUCGAGUUCUUAGGCUAUUUGAUGUGUGAUUUACUUGUUC
rnacentral:lncRNA from 1 species